rnacentral:rRNA from 1 species
UACGUAGGUGGCGAGCGUUGUCCGGAUUUACUGGGCGUAAAGAGCGCGCAGGCGGCUGGUCAAGUCCGAUGUGAAAGCUCCCGGCUUAACUGGGAAAUUGCAUCGGAAACUGAUCGGCUGGAAGGUGGGAGAGGGUAGCGGAAUUCCCGGUGUAGUGGUGAAAUGCGUAGAUAUCGGGAGGAACACCAAUUGCGAAGGCAGCUCGCUGGACGUCGACUGACGCUGAGACGCGAAAGCGUGGGGAAGCAACAGGGAGUUAAGAUAUCCCAUGGUAGUCCCGAGGAACCAACGAUCGUCCAUUCUCUUACCCGUAAA